AGUGACCAGCCCUACCUUUGUAAACGUCCGCACUGAUCAAGAAAUCAAGAAAAGGGUUCUUUCUCACAAUUGCUAUUGGUUUUGGGAGCCCCAGAAAAGUUUGCAACCUCUGUGUUCAAGAACACCGCCAACAACAGAAGCAGAGGCAAAGGCGAGAAAUAAUAAAGCGAGGUGGCGGAUAACCUCUCGAAGGAAGAUCCCCGCAUAAAUCAUCAUUAGACAGAGACGGCCAUUUCAGAGUGGCAUCCAUUAGCAAAUCAAUCCUCAUCAUCCUAAUCAUCUCGGUGCCAAGAUUGCUGCUCAUCAAGGAUCUGAGAGGCCUUUUGCGUGUGUUCCUGUUUUGAUGACUACCCUAUAAAAGAUGUCUUUUGGCGCUAAGUGUUCCCAACUCAUCGGGUGGGCAUGAGAAUUGCGAAGGGGACUUGGCAGCCCAGUGCCCUCGGGUAGCACGACCUGGUGGAUAAAGUGGAAACAAAAAAGCAAAAAGGACAGGAUCUCAUGCACCAAGGAAACGAUGGACCCUCCUUAUGAAAGGAAGAUGUGGAAAAGUGUCAUCUAAUCUACCAAGAAAGCCCUGCAUCAUCCUCCAUCUGGAGAGAAAGAGCACAGAGGUGGUGAAACCUUUCACUGAAGAAACCUGUACAAAAGCACUCUCUCGUCAGAAAAUAAAGACAAAACUUAUAUGCAAAAUCCAAGCUCAUCAGUUAUCACUUGCAGUGUUACAAUUUCACUGCAGUUCACAAAAACAAAAACAAGACAUUACUUGAGAAAACAGCAUUUGGAGUUAACAGUUCUAAGACAAAAUUCUCGACCAAAGUAUCUACCCAUGUCUUUCCUCACAUUUGUUUUGUGACAAUGCAACCAAGUCCCUGGGAAAAAACGAAGGCAAAGAGAAACUAGGCGCUUGUGAGAUGACCUCAAGGACUGCUGCAGAUUUAACUCUUGAGCAGUCUAAAUACUGAUGCUGCAUCAAGGCAUACCAGCAUAGCGUCCUUCACAACCCCAGCUACAAGAUGUAGAUGGCUUGCCACAUUUUCUGCUAGGAGUACCAUCAACGGGUCUAUCCUGGAGACAAGGCUUCAAGUCCCCAGAUGAAUGCAUCAAGGACCUGUAAGAUCACAGAACCAGAAAGGACAGUGAAGACACAAGCAAGGUACUUGGCACCAUCACGGCCGACAUGACCCCAUUCCAAAUUGUGGCAGAUGAUAACUGUGCUGCUUAUCAACAGGGAAGAGUUUACAGAGUGUACCAAAUGAAUUCAAGACUGACCUACUGCACUGCCAAGAACUAGGGAAGCUUUGAUGCCUGGAGUUCAAAGACAAAUAUCAACUUGAUCCUGCAAGAUUUAAGAAGGCAGUUACAAGAUGAAAGGCAAAGAACUUUGCCUCGGUUGCUAUCAAGGCCUCUGUGAAGAGCAACGAGAAAGUGACGGAGCUGCCAGGAACGAGAGACCUGUUUGGAUGACUUACCUCAGCUCAAAGAACAACCCUGAUCCCAAAAUUUUCUCAUUUCCUUUGACACCUGUGCCUCUUUCUUUGGCCCACGUUGUUAGCAGCCUUAACAAGACAGAUAAGUCUGAACUUCUGCACAAGCUUGAGAUUGAAGUACACAGCACAGACCCUAAAAUUUCUGUUAAUGUCACCCUUGUUGAUGGCAUGUUUCUUUUGCAUGCACUUCAUAACUACCAGUCACCUUUGGAGAAGCGGCUUUGCUGAUUCUAUGGAUGCAUUGUGGAAUGUAUCCAUAGAUGACACUGCCUCUGCCUUCACAGGUCCUAGCCAGCAACGGCCAAAAGAAUGGCAAAAGGCCCUUAAAUUACCACAUUCAAAAGUGCAUUCAUAAAGUUUCUUGCUCAGGAAUGGGCUACCCAUGUAGAUCCUAACACACUUGCUGGCCACCAUGUGAAUCUAGCAGUAAAUAUGUGUGAUCAUUAUACAGUCCUGCAAGGCACAGCCUUUCGUGAGGAAGAGCUUAUCUGGUUUGCACACAAGAGAAAGCAGAUACCAGGAUUGUGUUUCAUCUGUCAAGCCUUCCUCACAAAUGACAACCCCACCGUUGCUGUGAGGUGUUCUGAUACCGAUAUGUUUGUACUCUGUUAUAUCACAUCUCAAAAAUGUGGGACAACCAUAAACCAUUGGUGCGGAUGGAUGUUGGUCUGGGUGCUAUAGCAACAUCUCCCAGCUGGUUCAACAUUUCGAUAGAGAAGUCCUGGAGGCCUUGCCUGCUCUCCAUGCCUACACAGCCAUCUUCACAAACAAGGGGAAGAUGAGACCAUUUAAGCUGAAGAAGAAGAAUCUACAAUCUUUCAGUGCCUUUGCCUCCCUCGGCAGUAGUGACGACACAGUUGACAACAAUUCAAUGACAGAUUGAGAAGUUCAAGUAGUGCAUGUAUUUGAUGCCAAAGCUCUCCAAAAUCAACUGAUGUCAAGUUGGCCCUGUUUGAGAAAAAGUAUGCACCUACUAGCAAGGCAACAGUCCAGCCUCAUGGCAAGAUGAAAGGUGUGAACCCAAGUUGUGUGGCUCCUUGUCAUUCUUCACUGGUCAACAAAGUGCAAAGGGCAAAAUACAUUGCCUACUUGUGGAUGCCUCAAAUAGAAAAUCCUUCAGACCUGAAUCCUGAAGAAUUUGGAUAGUUGCUGAAAGACAACCAGUAUGUCAUCAAGUGGUAUGAUGGUGACCAAUUGCCAUAGAGUAUUGCCAACAUUAUCAGCAAGGAUGAUGACAUUGGUACCACAGCACAUGGCAUGGAUGAGGAAUUCUUCCCCUGUUCCCAUGAUGAAGGUGGUGAUAGUGACAAUUGAUUUUGAAUUUAUCUAGUCUUGUUAUGAAAUAAUGGUUACCUGAAUUGCAGACACAGUGAUUUUAUCAAGCUUACAGUAAUUGGCUUUUUCUGUUUAACCUGAGUAAUAAUUUUAUUCAUGCUCAAUUUUGUAUAUCAGUCAAGCUAUAUAUUACCAAAAUUUUAAAGAUGAUAUGCAUUGGUAUCUAAGUCUUAAUGUUUACAUGUGUUUUUGUCUUUGCAAAGUCAAAAUGCAUGGAUGACAUCCCAUGUAAAUUAAAUUCUUUAAACUGAAAUAGCCAUCAUAAGUAUCUUUUAUAACUUAAUAAUGAUAAAUUAUCAAUCAAUCAUUGUAUAUUAUAGUAUUGGAUAGAUAAUAUAGUAUUGGGUAAAAUCUUAAGAACUCUUGGAUUGUAUGUCUACAAUAGACUCUAAAAAUGCUGAAAAACAUGGAAGAUUGACAUAGUUUCAAAGUAAUAGUGAUUAAACACAGGUAUACAAACUAUACAAUUUAAAAUCCUGAAAUUUUUUCCUUUCAACAAACAUCUAUUGCGAAUGUUGGCCUUACGUUUAUGGUAAGCUACUGGAAUUGCCAAUAUGGA